UCUCCCUUCCUCGGCCAUUCCCUUGAAAUCAGUUCCACCGGUAUCACAAGCUUUCCCUUCCUCAGCCAUUCCCUUGACAUCAGUUCCACAAGUAUCACAAGCUCUCCCUUCCUCAGCCAUUCCCUUGAGGUCAGUUCCAACACUACCACAAGCUCUCCCUUCCUUGAACAUUCCCUUGAGGUCAGUUCCAACACUACCACAAGCUCUCCCUUCCUUGAACAUUCCCUUGAGGUCAGUUCCAAUACUACCACAAGCUCUCCCUUCCUUGAACAUUCCCUUGAGGUCAGUUCCAACACUACCAAAAGCUCUCCCUUCCUUGAACAUUCCCUUGAGGUCAGUUCCAACACUACCACAAGCUCUCCCUUCCUUGAACAUUCCCUUGAGGUCAGUUCCAACACUACCACAAGCUCUCCCUUCCUCAGACAUUCCCUUGAGGUCAGUUCCAACACUACCACAAGCUCUCCCUUCCUUGAACAUUCCCUUGAGGUCAGUUCCAACACUACCACAAGCUCUCCCUUCCUUGAACAUUCCCUUGAGGUCAGUUCCAACACUAUCACAAGCUCUCCCUUCCUUGAACAUUCCCUUGAGGUCAGUUCCAACACUACCACAAGCUCUCCCUUCCUUGAACAUUCCCUUGAGGUCAGUUCCAACACUAUCACAAGCUCUCCCUUCCUUGAACAUUCCCUUGAGGUCAGUUCCAACACUAUCAAAAGCUCUCCCUUCCUCAGCCAUUCC